CGCAAUAUGCGAAAAACCCUCGGAGCACGAUCCCGCGCGGGAGAAAAACUCUUGUGUUGUACAAACUCUUUUCUCUCGGAAGAAGACUAAUGACGGUACCUGAGGAACUCAGCAUCGGCUAACUCCGUGCCAGCAGCCGCGGUAAUACGGAGGAGGCAAGCGUUAUCCGGAAUUAUUGGGCGUAAAGCGUCCGCAGGUGGCUAUGCAAGUCUGCUGUCAAAGCCCCUGGCUUAACCACAUAAAGGCAGUGGAAACUGCACAGCUAGAGUGAGGUAGGGGUAGAGGGAAUUCCCAGUGUAGCGGUGAAAUGCGUAGAGAUCGGGAAGAACACCGGUGGCGAAAGCGCUUUACGGUACGGCACAUGCCGGUAUUAGCC
rnacentral:rRNA from 1 species